rnacentral:lncRNA from 1 species
GAAGUUGGGCUUAUGAGUUAAAAAAAUUAGUUUAGAUUUUAAGGAUCCAAAGUUACACUAUUAGGUAUGAUUUGAGAGAUUGAGAUUUUCAUUAUCUAAAAAUAGACAAUUUGGACAUAAAUUAGAAACUAAAAAAAGAUAUAAAAAUUAUGAAAGAAUAACACUAAUUUAAAGGGAUAUUAAUGUAAGUUUCUCUUGAUAAUUUAACUACUAUAUUGGCC